rnacentral:rRNA from 1 species
ACUCCUACGGGAGGCAGCCGUAGGGAAUUUUUCGCACAUGGGCGAAAGUCUGAUCCAGCACCUGCCGCGUGAGUGAAGAAGGCUCUCUGGGUUGUAAAAGCUCUGUUAUUCGGGGAGGAGCAAGUCCUAGUUUAAUAAUGCUGGCAUCCUGANCGUUCUAGCGAUANACAGUCCUCGG